rnacentral:snoRNA from 1 species
AUGUCUCUUGCCUCGCUCGGUCUUCUGCUUCUUCAUUCGGUUGAUCUUGAGCUGGAUGCAGCUUGCGCUUCUCUGUGCAAAUCUGUAUGAGACGAGAGUGAGGUUAACGCCCUCGACGAUCUUUGAGUACGGUUUUAUCUGAUAUGCACCACGGAUAUGAUCGUAAUUUAUCAGUCGGGACAGUC